rnacentral:rRNA from 1 species
UUUCGCAAUGCCCGAAAGGGUGACGAAGCGACGCCGCGUGUGGGAAGAAGGCCUUCGGGUUGUAAACCACUGUCGGGAGUUAGGAAAUGUAAGGGUGCUAAUAGUAUCCUUACUUGACUAAGGCUCCGGAGGAAGCCACGGCUAACUCUGUGCCAGCAGCCGCGGUAAUACAGAGGCGGCAAGCGUUGUUCGGAAUUAUUGGGCGUAAAGAGCACGUAGGCGGCCUUGUAAGUCAGUUGUGAAAGCCUUCUGUUCAACGGGAGAAUUGCAUCUGAAACUACAGACCUUGAGUAUAGGAGGGGAGAAUGGAACUUCUGGUGGAGCGGUGAAAUGCGUAGAUAUCAGAAGGAACGCCGGCGGCGAAAGCGAUUCUCUGGCCUAUUACUGACACUCAGUGUGCGAAAGCUAGGGGAGCAAACGGGAUUAGAUACCCCGGUAGUCCUAGCCGUAAACGAUGGGCACUAAGUAGAGGGGUUUUA